GAUAAACGCUGGCGGCGUGCCUUAUGCAUGCAAGUCGAACGAGUCCAAGGUUUCGGCCUGAAGACUAGUGGCGCACGGGUGAGUAACACGUACGUGACCUGUCCCUGACGUGGGGGAUAACCAGCCGAAAGGUUGGCUAAUACCGCAUGUGGACACCCCUUGAAAGGGGAUGUCGAAAGUAGCAAUACGCGUUGGGAGGGGCGUGCGGCCGAUUAGGUAGUUGGUGUGGUAACGGCGCACCAAGCCGAUGAUCGGUAGCUGGUCUGAGAGGAUGGUCAGCCACACUGGGACUGAGACACGGCCCA
rnacentral:rRNA from 1 species